rnacentral:rRNA from 1 species
AAACCAACAGGGAUUCCCUUAGUAGCGGCGAGUGAAGCGGCAAAAGCUCAAAUUUGAAAUCUGGCGCCUUCGGUGUCCGAGUUGUAAUUUGAAGAUUGUAACCUUGGGGUUGGCUCUUGUCUAUGUUUCUUGGAACAGGACGUCACAGAGGGUGAGAAUCCCGUGCGAUGAGAUGCCCAAUUCUAUGUAAGGUGCUUUCGAAGAGUCGAGUUGUUUGGGAAUGCAGCUCUAAGUGGGUGGUAAAUUCCAUCUAAAGCUAAAUAUUGGCGAGAGACCGAUAGCGAACAAGUACAGUGAUGGAAAGAUGAAAAGAACUUUGAAAAGAGAGUGAAAAAGUACGUGAAAUUGUUGAAAGGGAAGGGUUUGAGAUCAGACUCGAUAUUUUGUGAGCCUUGCCUUCGUGGCGGGGUGACCCGCAGCUUAUCGGGCCAGCAUCGGUUUGGGCGGUAGGAUAAUGGCGUAGGAAUGUGACUUUACUUCGGUGAAGUGUUAUAGCCUGCGUUGAUGCUGCCUGCCUAGACCGAGGACUGCGAUUUUAUCAAGGAUGCUGGCAUAAUGAUCCCAAACCGC